rnacentral:rRNA from 1 species
GAUCAUGGCUCAGAGUGAACGCUGGCGGUAGGCCUAACACAUGCAAGUCGAACGGCAGCACAGGGGAGCUUGCUCCUUGGGUGGCGAGUGGCGGACGGGUGAGGAAUACAUCGGAGUCUACUCUGUCGUGGGGGAUAACGUAGGGAAACUUACGCUAAUACCGCAUACGACCUACGGGUGAAAGCAGGGGAUCUUCGGACCUUGCGCGAUUGAAUGAGCCGAUGUCGGAUUAGCUAGUUGGG